CCUACGGGAGGCAGCAGUAGGGAAUAUUGGUCAAUGGAUGGAAGUCUGAACCAGCCAUGCCGCGUGCAGGAAGAAGGCCUUCUGGGUUGUAAACUGCUUUUGCCAGGGGCUAAAAAGCCCAUGCGUGGGAAAUUGAAAGUACCUGGUGAAUAAGCCACGGCUAACUACGUGCCAGCAGCCGCGGUAAUACGUAGGUGGCAAGCGUUGUCCGGAUUUAUUGGGUUUAAAGGGUGCGUAGGCGGCUUUGUAAGUCAGUGGUGAAAUAUGGCAGCUCAACUGUCAAGGUGCCAUCGAUACUGCAGAGCUUGAGUACAGAUGAGGUAGGCGGAAUUGACGGUGUAGCGGUGAAAUGCUUAGAUAUCGUCAAGAACACCUAUAGCGAAGGCAGCUUACUAGGCUGUAACUGACGCUGAGGCACGAAAGUGUGGGGAUCAAACAGGAUUAGAUACCCUGGUAGUCCACACUGUAAACGUUGAUUACUCGCUGUGUGCGAUAUACAGUACGCGGCCAAGCGAAAGCGCUAAGUAAUCCACCUGGGGAGUACGCCGGCAACGGUGAAACUCAAAGGAAUUGACGG
rnacentral:rRNA from 1 species